rnacentral:rRNA from 1 species
UCAGGAUGAACGCUAGCUACAGGCUAACACAUGCAAGUCGAGGGCAGCAUGGCGAUGCUGCAAUGCCGAUGGCGACCGGCGCACGGGUGAGUGACGCGUAUCCAACCUUCCUGCCAGUAGGGAACAGCCCGGCGAAAGUCGGAUUAAUGCCCUAUGUUCUUCGAAGUGCGGACAUCUAAGUUGAAGGAAAGAUUUAUCGCUGGCAGAUGGGGAUGCGUCCGGUUAGCUUGUUGGCGGGGUAACGGCCCACCAAGGCGACGAUCGGUAGGGGUUCUGAGAGGAAGGUCCCCCACACUGGUACUGAGACACGGACCAGACUCCUACGGGAGGCAGCAGUGAGGAAUAUUGGUCAAUGGGCGAGAGCCUGAACCAGCCAAGUAGCGUGCAGGAGGACGGCCCUACGGGUUGUAAACUGCUUUUAUGCGGGGAUAAAGUGCGGCACGUGUGCCGUUUUGCAGGUACCGCAUGAAUAAGGACCGGCUAAUUCCGUGCCAGCCGCCGC